CCCCAAGCCAGUGCUGCCACAUUGCCACUCGCUGCCUGUACCCCCGCUGCCUCCUGCCACCCACUCCCCUACCGUGACUUGGUGCUCCUCUGAAUUGCAAGGUCCAGCCCUCCCAGUGGUUUGUGGCUGUCAUGUGUACAACUGUCUUCAAAAGUUUGAGUUUUGCUUCUUCAUUGACUUCUCUGUUCUUCUAAGUUCUUGAACAUUUGUCAUGGCUGUCCUUGCUGUGCCAAAUCUCCAUUUAAACAUUCCAUUCCCAUGAGCUGCCUAAAUUAAAGUCUGAACCUAUA